rnacentral:rRNA from 1 species
CAGUAGCCGCGGUAAUACGAAGGGUGCAGGCGUUACUCGGAAUUACUGGGCGUAAAGCGUGCGUAGGUGGUGGUUUAAGUCCGUUGUGAAAGCCCUGGGCUCAACCUGGGAAUUGCAGUGGAUACUGGGUCACUAGAGUGUGGUAGAGGAUAGUGGAAUUUCCGGUGUAGCAGUGAAAUGCGUAGAGAUCGGAAGGAACAUCUGUGGCGAAGGCGACUAUCUGGGACAACACUGACGCUGAGGCACGAAAGCGUGGGGAGCAAACAAGAUUAGAUACCCCAGUAGUCCCUGUCUCUUAUAC